rnacentral:rRNA from 1 species
UACGUAGGUGACCAGCGUUGUCCGGAUUUACUGGGCGUAAAGAGCGCGCAGGCGGUCGUUCAAGUCGAGUGUGAAAGCCCCCGGCUCAACUGGGGAGGGUCAUUCGAUACUGAUCGACUUGAAGGCAGGAGAGGGAAGCGGAAUUCCCGGUGUAGUGGUGAAAUGCGUAGAUAUUGGGAAGAACACCGGUGGCGAAGGCGGCUCUCUGGACCGAGACUGACGCUGAGGCGCGAAAGCGUGGGGAGCAAACAGG